UUGCAAUUGAUGGCCCAGGACUGAAG
rnacentral:piRNA from 1 species